rnacentral:rRNA from 1 species
GACGAACGCUGGCGGCGUGCUUAACACAUGCAAGUCGAACGGUAAGGCCCUUCGGGGUACACGAGUGGCGAACGGGUGAGUAACACGUGGGUGAUCUGCCCUGCACUUCGGGAUAAGCCUGGGAAACUGGGUCUAAUACCGGAUAGGACCACUGCCUGCAUGGGUGGUGGUGGAAAGCUUUUGCGGUGUGGGAUGGGCCCGCGGCCUAUCAGCUUUUUGGUGGGGUGAUGGCCUACCAAGGCGACGACGGGUAGCCGGCCUGAGAGGGUGACCGGUCACGCUGGGACUGAGAUACGGCCCAGACUCCUACGGGAGGCAGCAGUGGGGAAUAAUGCACAAUGGGCGCAAGCCUGAUGCAGCGACGCCGCGUGAGGGAUGACGGCCUUCGGGUUGUAAACCUCUUUCAGCACCGACGAAGCGCAAGUGACGGUAGGUGCAGAAGAAGGACCGGCCAACUACGUGCCAGCCGCCGCAGUAA